UACGAGGGGUCCUAGCGUUGUUCGGAAUUAUUGGGCGUAAAGCGGGUGUAGGCGGAUCGAUAAGUCGGGUGUGAAAGCCCUGGGCUCAACCCAGGAAGUGCAUCUGAUACUGUUGAUCUUGAGUGUGGUAGAGGCUAGUGGAAUUCCUGGUGUAGUGGUGAAAUACGUAGAUAUCAGGAGGAACAUCGGUGGCGAAGGCGGCUAGCUGGACCAACACUGACGCUCAGACCCGAAAGCGUGGGGAGCAAACAGG
rnacentral:ncRNA from 2 species